rnacentral:rRNA from 1 species
UUGAUCAUGGCUCAGAAUGAACGUUAGCGGCGCGCCUGAUGCAUGCAAGUCGAACGGUUUCGGAGCAAUCCGGAAUAGUGGCAAACGGCUGAGUAACGCGUAAGUAACCUACCUCUAAGUACGGAAUAACCUGCCGAAAGGCAAGCUAAUACCGCAUGUGCUGCAAGAUUUAUUUUUUUCAGUAAAGCUUUUGCGCUUAGAGAAGGGCUUGCGUCUGAUUAGCUAGUUGGUGGGGCAACGGCCUACCAAGGCAAUUAUCAGUAGCUGGUCUUAGAGGACAACCAGCCAGACAGGGACUGAGACACGGCCCUGACUCCUACGGGAGGCAGCAGCAAGGAAUUUUGCGCAAUGGGCGAAAGCCUGACGCAGCGACGCCGCGUGAGGGAUGAAGGCCUUCGGGUCGUAAACCUCUUUUCCUGGGGAAGAAUAAUGACGGUACCCAGGGAAUAAGUCUUGGCUAACUACGUGCCAGCAGCCGCGGUAAUACGUAGGAGGCAAACGUUAUUCGGAUUUACUGGGCGUAAAGCGGGUGUAGACGGCUUCUUAAGUCGGUUGUGAAAUCUCCUGACUCAAUUGGGAGGAGUCAAUCGAUACUGAGAAGCUAGAGGGCAGCAGAAGAAAGCGGAACUCCCGGUGUAGCGGUGAUAUGCGUAGAUAUCGGGAGGAAUACCAGUGGCGAAGGCGGCUUUCUAGGUUGUUCCUGACGUUGAUGCCCAAAAGCGUGGGGAGCGAAACGGAUUAGAUACCCGUGUAGUCCACGCCCUAAACUUUGAACACUAGGUAUGGUGAGUAUCGACCCUCUUCGUGCCGAAGCUAACGCUUAAGUAUCCCGCCUGGGGACUACGGCCGCAAGGUUGAAACUCAAAUGAAUUGACGG